UACAGAGGUCCCGAGCGUUGUUCGGAUUCACUGGGCGUAAAGGGUGCGUAGGUGGUGAGGUAAGUCGGAUGUGAAAUCUCCAGGCUCAACCUGGAAACUGCAUUGGAAACUACCUUGCUGGAGGAUUUGAGGGGGGAUUGGAAUACUUGGUGUAGCAGUGAAAUGCGUAGAUAUCAAGUGGAACACCAGUGGCGAAGGCGGGUUGCUGGGCUGACACUGACGCUGAUGCGCGAAAGCUAGGGGAGCGAACGGG
rnacentral:rRNA from 1 species